GUCGUUUCGUGACUUUGGUCUUCGAGUUUCCCAUAUUCGGAAAUUUCACACGCACGCACGCACCCACUCUCUCUGUCAGAUCCUCCGUUGGCAUUUUCCGACCUUCGAAUUAGGGAAUAGAGUGGAGAGAGAUGGGUAGCCCUAAGAAGCACCAGAGUAAGGGCUUCUUUGCUGCCGUGAGCUCUGGUUUGUCCAUCUUCGGCAACGCCAUGCAUCGAUCCGUCAACGGGUUGCUUGGUUUUGAAGGGGUAGAAGUGAUAAAUCCAGAGGGUGGCAAAGAAGAUGCAGAGGAGGAAGCUCAGAGAGGAAGAUGGAAACCAGAGGAUAGAGACAGCUACUGAAAAAUGAUGCACAAAUAUAUAGGCUCAGACGUCACAUCAAUGGUCACACUUCCUGUCCUUAUUUUUGAGCCUAUGACUAUGCUUCAGAAAAUGGCAGAGUUAAUGGAGUACGCCUACUUGUUGGAUCAGGCAGACGAAUGUGGGGAUCCUUAUAUGCAGUUGGUGUAUGCCUCAUCAUGGGCUAUCUCUGUCUACUAUGCCUAUCAACGAACUGGAAGCCUUUUAAUCCUAUUCUUGGGGAAACUUAUGAAUUGAGUAAUCAUGGAGGGAUUACAUUUGUCGUAGAGCAG